rnacentral:rRNA from 1 species
UAGGUUAACGAGGCGAACCGGGGGAACUGAAACAUCUAAGUACCCCGAGGAAAAGAAAUCAACCGAGAUUCCCCCAGUAGCGGCGAGCGAACGGGGAGCAGCCCAGAGUCUGAAUCAGCUUGUGUGUUAGUGGAACGGUCUGGAAAGUCCGACGGUACAGGGUGAUAGUCCCGUACACCAAAAUGCACAGGUUGUGAACUCGAAGAGUAGGGCGGGACACGUGGUAUCCUGUCUGAAUAUGGGGGGACCAUCCUCCAAGGCUAAAUACUCCUGACUGACCGAUAGUGAACCAGUACCGUGAGGGAAAGGCGAAAAGAACCCCGGCGAGGGGAGUGAAAAAGAACCUGAAACCGUGUACGUACAAGCAGUGGGAGCACCUU